CGCUGUGAUGAAUUCAGCCUUGACUGAUUUGUGAUGAAUGACAGGCAGACUGAGC
rnacentral:snoRNA from 1 species